rnacentral:pre_miRNA from 1 species
AAUAAACUAAUUUCUGCGUUUUUGAUUGAAUUUUUGACUCUUCGUCUUAUUUGAAAUUUUUUAUGAUUAAUAUUUUUAUUAUUAUUACAUGAUAAAAUAUAAAUAGUACUUUGCAUGUGACUAUUUUUUUUCAAUUUUUUAAUAUACUCUUUAAAUAAGACGGAUGGUCAAACGCUCUAUAGGCAAGACUCAGG